AGGGGAAUAGACUAGUGGUUAUUUCGCUUGCCUCACACGCAAGAAGUCCAGGGUUCAAGUCCCUGUUUCCCUACCA
rnacentral:tRNA from 1 species